rnacentral:lncRNA from 1 species
GGUAUUCCACGGACUAAUCAACCAUAACAAUAUUAUCAGUAUAAUUGGGAGGAGAAAAGAAAACAGGAGACUUUCCUUGGUCAGUGAGAAGAUACAGCUUUCAACUCUUCUUGUGCUUGCAGAGCCUGCUGAAGUAUCGUAGAAUCUCCUGCCUAGGGAAACCACAAUUUCAUAAUCUUUGCUCAUGCUUUUUGCCCCAUAGUUGAUUUUCAUUGGUCUGCCACGUGGAG